rnacentral:ncRNA from 2 species
UUGAUUACUGCGGGAGAUACUUAUUAAAUUAAGAGCCGAAGGAAUAAUUCAGUACUAAGCGAGUGCUAAAGAUGAUCUCAGGCAAAAGGACCGUAGUAGGACU